AUCUAGUUGCUUUAGUCGGUAAGUUUCUAGCCGAAUAACUUCAUCUACCUGGUAUGGACCCUCCCAAUUUGGGGCUAGCUUACCAUGUUCUCCAGGUUGAGAAACUUCUACUCUGCGCAAGACUAGGUCACUAAUCCUGAAGACUUUGUUCCAAACUUUGAAAUUGUAGUAUCAGAUAAUCUUAUGUUGAUAAUUUACCAUUCGGACUUGUACUUUUUCUCGGACUUCUUCAAGU
rnacentral:lncRNA from 1 species